rnacentral:hammerhead_ribozyme from 1 species
GCAUUGCUGAGGAGUCCCACAAUAGGAUGAAACGGCCUUGCAGUGC